rnacentral:snRNA from 11 species
AAACUGUAAGUGAGACACUCCAAUAUAUGUUUUCCUUUAUAAGAGGUGCCAUGGUCCAAGAUUUAUCCAUUGCACUCUGGAUGUGCUGACCACUGGGAUUUCCCCAAAUUUGGGAAACUGAACUGCAUAAUUGGUGGUAGUGGGGGACUGCAUCAGAGUUCUCCCCUA